rnacentral:lncRNA from 1 species
GGUUGCAACUCUCACCUUUAUCUGCUACCUCCCAGACCACCCCAUCCCAGGCUUGAUUCUUAAUUCCUGGACAUCUGCAGCUGGAUAUCCCACAGGUAAAUUGACAGGCACACAUUAAAUUCAUCUUCAACCUCUCACACCCUCCUCAAAUGUGCUACUGCUAUGAUAUUCUCUUUUUUGGUCUUUGGAAAUAUUGUGCUUGGCAAUGGCUUUGCUGAAUGUACCCCCUGGUGGCCGAGAGAAGGAAUCACUGCAGCCACACUUUACAAAAAUUUUUCCACCCGGGGCUUCUUUGCAUCAUGAGGUCAUUGUCAAAGAAGCCAGAACAAAGAGACCCCAACUGCUUUCAUCCCUUCUUAUGAAAAUGAAUUUUCAUUCCCGACUCUCUCUAUUAUUCUGUGUCCUAUGUGUCCGAAAAUUUAUAAAAAUAAAAAUAAAAAAUAAAGGAUUUGACUUUUCUCCUGAUAAAUCAAAAUGGCAAAAUGGCAAACUAUAAAAGUUUCCCCACCUCAUCUUCUGCCUGCUCUCCUCACCACUGUAUUUUCCACAUGGAACAAGAUGUCACUUAUAUAUGCCAAUGGAUGUCAUGGACAAACAAGGAACAGGGAAAGCCCAGAACUUCUCAAUGCUCAUUGGCACUAGAACAUAGUAGUAUACUUGCUAUUUUUCAGAGGUGGGAUCUUGUGAAUGAGACCACAAUUUGGCACAGAAAGUAGUCAUUGCCACUGAAUUAUUCACUCGAGAUGAGAAUUUAUUCUGGUGACUGGAAAUAUUCCAGUGUUGCUUUGAGCAAAAGGAACAGUGACCACAUCCCAUGAAGCUCCAUGUGAUGGCUUUUUUGAUAUGUCAGCUUAGCUAGGUGACAAUCCACAGUUAUUAAAUCAGACACUAAUCUAAUUGUUGCUGUAAAGAAAUUUUGCAGCAGUAAUUAAAAUUCCUAAUCAUUUGACUCUAGGUAAAGAAGAUCAUCUUGAAUAAUCUGGGUGAACCUGACUUGAUUAGUUUGAAGGCCCUUAAAAGCAGGGCUGAGGCUUCCCCAAAAGAGAGAAGAAAUUCUGCCUGUGAGGAACAACUUCAGCCCAUGCUGUGGAUUCCGGUGUUUCUAUGAUUUUCCCUUUCUGAGCACCUGGCCUGUAGAUUUACCUGCUUAGUCAGCCCCCACAAUUGUGUAAGCCAAUUCUGGUGUAUCCGUUUGCUAGGGUUGCCAUGACAAAGUACCACAAACUAGGUGGCUUAGAACAACAGAAAUUUAUUGUCUCAUAGUUCUGGAGGCUAGAAGUCCAAGAUCAACGUGUCAGCAGGGAUGGCUCUGUCUGAGGGCUGUGACGAGGAGUCUGCCCCAAGCCUCUCCUCUAGCUUCUGGUGGUUUACUGACAGUCACUGGUGCCCCUUGGCCUGUAGAUAAUGUAUUGCCCCAACCUCUGCCUUCAUCAUUACACGAUAUUCUCCCUGUGUGUGUAUGUCUCUCUGCUUCCAAUUUUCUCCUUUUAAUAAGGACACUAGUCAUACUGGAUUAGGGCCCAGGCUAAUAACCUCAUUUUAACUGAUUAACUCUGUAACAACCCUAUCUCUAAAUAAGGUCACAUUCUGGGGUACUGGAGGUUAGGACUCUAGUAUAUUUUGGAGGAAGAUGGAAUUAAAUCCAUAUCACCUGCUUCUCCGGUUGAACCCUGGAUUAUACUCUGUGUGUAUCAAUUGGUCCCCAAAACAGCUUACCAGAAACAUUGGUUUCUCCAUUUGGCACAUCUCAUGUCUCCAGAAACAUUGAUUCAUCCUCUGAUAUGGAGAUGUUUAAAUCUGGGUAUACUGGGUAUAAGUAUGAUACAAUUACUCAGUUUCCACAAAGACAGCCAGGGUUGGAGAUUUAUCAGAAAAUGAUUUAUGAAGCUAUUGUUAGAAUUCUGGGGCACCUCAGCCAGCUAGACUCUAUAGGUAUUUCAAAUGAGGAGUGGGGCAUUUUAACUAUAACCUGGCUUUGCCAUCUGCAGCUGCUUAAUACCUAAAAAGAAUGAACAACUUGGAAAGCAGAUAAUUGGCUUUGUGGGGUUUGGAAAGAAGAAUCAUGGGUAUGAGAAUGUGUAAGGAAGCUGGUUAGGUAGUUCGAAUGUCCAGGGCCUGGAACUGGUGAAGAUAUUUCAUGUUUCUAUGUCUCUGUUAUGUACUGCACACUUGCUUGUGGCCAAGUGUAUCUUAUCUGAUUUAAUCCUCACUACAUUCUUAUUAGGGAUGCAUUGUUUUCCCUUAGUAGGGUUGAAAAAAAUGAGUCUGAGGUGACUCUUAAGAUUACACAUCUAGUAAUGAUUGGCCAUCAGGAUUCAGACAUACAGUCACUCGUUCUUUGUGAACUCCCUAUACGUGAAUUCACCUACUCACUAAAAAUUAUUUAUAGCUCCAAAAGUGAUACUCAUGUUGUCCUCAGGAUCAUUCAUAGGCCUGCUUUAGGAAUGAAGGAGACUGUAGCCUGAAAGCCCCUGCAGGUCCCGUUUUCAUCUGAUUGGAAGCUGAUGAGCAUGAUGCUGGAGGGGCUCAGCACAGGGGUGGGGACAUCAUAGCCACACAGCCGAGCUUGUUGAAGGCCAGCCCAGGCAUGACAUUGUCAAGCACCCAGCAGAUAGCCAUGGCAUUGGAGAGAAGAAAAAAAGAAAAUCAUCCUUCAGGUAAUUGUUGAGAAAUACGCUUUUCACAAUUCAUUUUCUAAAUAAAGGCAGCUCACUCCUUAAUUAACCCCAUGACAUUUCAAUUUGGUUUUCUCUCCUGAACACUCCCACACACAAUGAUGUUAAGGGAACUGGUUCUAGCCUCAGGACUUGUUUCAAUGGAACUUUCCCUUUCUGACUCCUAGUUUCCUCAUGGGCCUUUUGCAUUUCUGUUUCAGUGGUUCUUUGACUCUGAAAUGAAAGCUGAGAAGACACGAAGUUACAUCCAGAGUAAACAAUCUGAAUGAAUUACCUGACUUUGAUUCAGCAGAGAAAUUUGGAUUGCUCAACUUGUUCUGGAGUAAGACCUUAGAUAAGAAAGUUAAUGGGGUAUUCAGGAGUGGGUCAGAUUACCAAGGGAAGGAUUCUAUAUCACAGGCUCUAACUUUUUGAAAUAGCUACCAAAUAUGGCCUGAAUCAAAGGGCAGGAAACUGUGCAAAUAUUUUAGCUUCCUAACAUCUCUAAGAGAUUAGGAGAGCUACCGCAUGGGGAUUUUUUUCCUUGGAAGCAACUAGGCACUCAACUCAACUAAUUGCAUAUACACAAAACUGCUUCUCUGGACAUCUUAGUGUUGUUCACCUGGUUCCUGAUGUUUCAUCUUGAACCUCUAGUUCUCCUGAAUCAAGACUGAAAUUUGUUGUGCCCCUUGGAGACCGUGUCUUUCUACCCAGCGGGAUAUAGCUGGCUCCUCUUCUCACCUGCUUUGUCCUGUUGCCACUAUAUUUCCAUGCCUCACUGCAAAAUUCUGAGAAGGCACAGAUGUAAGUGAGUCUAAUUGCUGAUAUAAAACAAAGUAUCAUCUGAGCUACUGAAAGCAUUUGCAUAAGUGGGCUCGGAGUCAAAUGUAGUGAGCCUCAUGAAUGUGCAUGAAAAAGGAAAUCCUUGUAUGAGUUAGAGAGAGCUGAUUUUGGAUACUAAGCUUAAAUGUAAACCUCAGCAAAAUUCUUGAGUAGAUUAUUAAGCUAUGAUGAGUAAUGACCUAGAAAAGAAAGUUGAUCACCUGGAAUCAACCUAGGGUCACCAAGAAUAAAUCAUGACAAACCUUUUCUCAUAGUUUCUAUAAUUGUGAUGCUUAUUGGCAGCAUAAUAUUUCAUUUAUCUCUAUCCUUGAGACCUGUAUUUUUUGCUAUCUUAAAAACUUGGCAGUGAAUAUCUUUAGGCAUUUACUUUUUUUCUUCUCUUGUAUCAUUCCCUGCAUGGGGCACUUGUUUUGUUUCAGGAAAAGGGAGGGGAACUAUCUAGAUAGAAGGAACAGUGUGAAGGAGAAACAAAGAAACAAUAAAGAGUGAUCUUGGAGCAGUUUGGUGAGCACUAGCCAAUUGAAUUUGAAGUGAAGAGUGGUGGGAGAGAGGGCUGAUGAAAUAGGAACUCUAAUUUUAACACACAGUUGAUGGGGAUUCAAUGGGACCCAGACUCUGAGCAAGAAACAGAAAGGAUUGUGUGGAUAAAACAAAACUGGAGGCAAAUAAUUACUAAUGGUAAAGGUAGGCGUGGGGAGGGGGACCUGUAUCAGAAAUAGGAUUCAUUCAAACAUUUAUUAAACCCUUACUGGGAUACUUUCUGGGAAGGGGCCCUUUUCUCUCCAAGUCAAAUGGUGAGCAUAUUCCUAUGACUUUUAACACCAGUUUCCAAAUUACUAUCUUACACGAGUUCUGCAAAAUGAUGCUGUCACUGGCAGAGUAUGAGAGCAUCGCUUCACUGAUGCACGACACUCAAACUUUACUUAUUGAAGAGAUAUUUUUCAAUCACUUCUGGCUCUGGCAUUUUCAGAUUUUCAACUAAAUUUCCUCUUCUUCCUCCACCUGGAAACAUGCUCACAACCUAAAUUUUAUCCUCCACCACUAACAAAUUUUCCUUAAUUCUGCUGAAAUUUUUGCCCCAAAUCUGUUUAGGUUUGAUGAACUUUUAGAAAGAAAUCUAUACCAACUGCCUCUGUAUCAUCUUUUCCCACUCAUUCAUAAAACCUGUGUGAUCUUGUUUCUGCCAUUAACAUCUGACUUCACGUGAUAUUUCAGAUACCACCAAUCCCAACUCCUCUCAAUUGUUCAAUUUCCCAUCUAAUUAUUCUCCCUUUUUUAUGGAGGUGUGGGGUGGGGACUGGACACCUCAGUUCUCAUCUCUUUAAGUUCUAACUUAGUGUGGUAUCCAAAUGAUUGGUCACAUCUUUUUCUUUGGUUUUGUUUGUGUUUUAAGUUAAAGGCUGCAUUCUCCAGGCUGUCAUAAAAACACACCAAUUUGGUUCUCCUCCCACAUCUCAGAGUUCUUUCCAUCUCUUAAGUGAGAACGCUGGUGUCUCAUCAUCCCUCACUCCUCUCCCCUUUAUUUUCUGCUCUCUUUUCUCUCCAUCGUACACUGUCUUGUUUUCAAUUAUUAUUUUAAAAGAAAGAUCUAUGAGAAAAUGCCUCAUUCCAAUCUCACCCUGACUGCAGUCCUACUUCUACCUCCCUGAUGAUAUCUCUCUGCAGAUGGUCCAUUAGUGUUUAAUGAACAAACAACUAACCACACACUGCUAAUCAAAUGUGGAAUAAACUCCAUUUCCAGGCGUUCAAAGGCCUCCAUACAGUGACUUCCACCUUGCCUUCCACUGUCCACUCCAGGACACCUUAAGACCCUCUUAAACCAGCGAUUCCCUGAGCCUGUUCUGCGCUGGUUCCUCUAGGCUUGCUCUGUCCUCUCUGCUUGAAAGGCUUGAUGAUUUUGGCCUGAUUGACCUUGAUUUUGUUAUCUAUAACUUACAAUGUGUUUUGUGAGCAGUUUAAUAAAUAAGGAAGACAUGCUUGUUUCUGGAAUGGACUAAAAGUCACCAACACAAAGUUUUUGUUUUGUUUUGUUUUGUUUUGUGUUUUGAGAGUUUCGCUCUUGUAGCCCAGGCUGGAGUGCAGUGGCGCGAUCUCGGCUCAUUGCAACCUCCAUCUCCCGGGUUCAAGCAAUUCUCCAGCCUCCCGAGUAGCUGGGAUUACAGGCGCCCGCCACCGCGCCCGGCUAAUUCAAUACAAAGAUUAAAGCGGCACUUUUUUUUUUUUUUUUUUUUUUUAAAGUAAGGAGCACAGUGCCAUCUAGUGGAAAAAAUGUGUAGUUGCAGGGGAAACUGGGCGGAUCCAUUAUUCAGCAAGUAUUUAUUGACAGCUUUGUGUGUCAGGUGCUGGGUUCUAGGUACUGAAAACACAGCAGUGAAUAAAUCAGAUAAAACCUCUGACCUCAUGGUGCUUAUGUUAGCUAUUCUGUGAAUUUACCAUAGCUACGUAAGGACAGCCAAAGUCA